rnacentral:rRNA from 1 species
UACGUAUGGUGCGAGCGUUGUCCGGAUUUACUGGGCGUGAAGGGGGCGCAGGCGGCGCGCCAAGCCCGAUGUGAAAGCCCGGGGCUCAACCCCGGGACUGCAUUGGGAACUGGCGUGCUGGAGUGCCGGAGGGGCAGGCGGAAUCCCUGGUGUAGCGGUGAAAUGCGUAGAUAUCAGGAGGAACACCGGUGGCGAAGGCGGCCUGCUGGACGGAUACUGACGCUGAGGCCCGAAAGCGUGGGGAGCGAACAGG